rnacentral:lncRNA from 1 species
UGAGUUUUCUGAGAGCAUCUCACAUCUAAAACUCCUCCUACUUCUCAUCUUUGAAAGAGUCCAAAUCAAGAAGGAGGCAUCUGAUCGACCAUCGAAGAAGGAUCAGCACAGUACUAGCAUACUGUGCUGAUUUUCUGGACCAAGACUUCUGAUCGUGAUUCGUGGGCUCGUGUGGAUGACUCCUAGAGGCCCGACAUAUG